rnacentral:lncRNA from 1 species
UGGCAGAGAACCGCUAAUUUGGUUUUGUCGCAUAUUCAGAUAGUCCAACGUGGAAGCCAUUAUCCAAAACCAAUCUGGCACCGUGUUAGAUAUGCUUGUGUUGAGAUAUCAAGAUAUACUAGGCGCGUUAGCCAUCUAAGCCACAAUGGGAAUUUCGGCCCGAGAAGGCAUGAACGAAUUUCAAUAUCUGAUAGAUUGGAAGAAGGAACCCACGCCGGAUUCACUUUGAGGGCUAUAGAGUUAUAAGACAGCCACAACUUCUCCAAGCUUUCUAGGCCGGAUAAAUGACCUUCAUGUAUCAAACCAGAGAGGUUAUUAUAGCUCAGGUCCAGAUCAAUUAGCUUUGCGAGAUCUCCUAUCCAUAGUGGCAAAGGACCGGUGAGAUCGUUAAAGCUGAGAUCGAGGCUGAUCAGAUUGCUUAACGGUUCUAGUUUGGUUGGUAGGCUUCCUGUCAAAUUGCUCACAGGCAGAGAUAUGUGUGUCAACCUAUCCCAUGAACAACUAGGCAAGCGUUGGAAUAAUUCUGUUAUCCUUCCGUUGAUGUUAUUUUCGCCUACAAGGAAUUCUUCCAAGCUACAUAGGUUCUCCAGGUUUGAUGGUAUCAUGCCCACAAGGUUAUUCCCUGAUAAAUCAAGCGUUACUAUCGAGGUCAUAUUACCUAUCCCAUCCGUGAAUCGGCCAUAGAAUUGAUUAUCUGCGAUAUUUAGAUACUUAAGGCUAGUUAUGUUGGCAAUUAUGAUAGGAAGGGCUAAGGAAGCUAGUCAAGUGGGUGGCCUGGUUCCUCACCUCGUUGAUGGAGGUGUGUCCAUCCUUCAGUACGCCGAUAAUACAAUCAUCUUUAUGGAGCAUGACUUGGCAAAAGUGAGAAAUAUGAAGCUGGUGUUAUGCCUAUUUGAACAAUUGACCGGGUUAAAGAUUAACUUUCACAAAAGCGAGUUGUUCUGCUUUGGUAGAGCCAAAGACGAACAAGAGGCAUAUAGGCAAUUGUUUGGGUGUGAUUUGGGGGCUUUACCUUUCACAUACUUAGGAAUACCAAUCCACCAUCGUAGGCUGACAAACAGAGAAUGGAAGGGCAAGCUCAUGUCAUACGGAGGCCGAUUAAUUCUGAUAAAUUCGGUUCUCACGAGUAUGCCUAUGUUUCUUUUGUCGUUCUUCGAAGUCCCAGUUGGAGUAAGGAAAAGACUGGACUUUUAUCGAUCACGAUUCUUUUGGCAGGGUGAUGAACUAAAACGAAAAUACCGUCUAGCCAAAUGGGAUAUCAUCUGUAGACCGAAAGACCAAGGGGGCCUUGGUAUCGAGAAUCUUGAAGUUAAGAACAAAUGUCUUCUCAGUAAGUGGCUGUGGAAGUUAUCUAGUGAGACUGAUGCCACUUGAGCGCAAAUUCUCCGUAGCAAGUAUCUUCAGACCAAAACUUUGUCUCAGGUGACAGUAAGGCCGACUGACUCACCUUUUUGGAAAGGGCUUAUGAAAGUCAAAUUAUCCCUGUUUAAUAGGACAAAGUUUAUUGUUGGUAACGGUGCUAGUACGCGAUUCUGGGAGGAUACUUGGCUCGGAGACACACCCCUAGCCAUCCAAUACCCGUCUUUGUAUCGUAUUGUUCAACGACGUGAGGUGUUCGUUGCAACGGUAUUUCAAUCUAUCCCCCUUAAUAUUCAGUUCAGAAGGGUACUAGUGGGCAAUCGUUGGGAAGAACGACUCCGUCUAGUAAGUAGACUGAUGGAGGUUCAUCUUUCUCAACAACCCGGUGAAUUACGCUGGAAGCUUACUAGGUCCGGAGUAUUUUCAGUUAAAUCAAUGUAUGUUGAUGUUAUCAAUUCAAACCCGAUUCCUAGUUCCAAACAUGUUUGGGCUGUCAAAGUUCUUUUGAAAAUCAAAGUGUUUAUGUGGUUUGUCCAUAAACAAGUUAUUUUAACCAAGAACAACUUGACAAAGCGUAAUUGGACAGGACCUACUAGGUGUAGUUUCUGAGAUCGGGAUGAGACGAUCAAACAUCUUUUUCUUGAUUGCCAGCUAGCCAAAGUUUUAUGACGGAGGGUCCAUAUUGCUUUUAAUAUUACUCCACCGAAUUCUGUCAACACGUUAUUUGGAACAUGGCUUAACGGGAUAGAGCCCGAUUUAGCGAGACAUAUUCGCGUAGGAGUCCGCGCCUUGUUGUGGGCUCUCUGGAAUUGCAGAAAUGAUUUGUUUUUUAACAGGACAACACGCAUUCAUUUUUUGCAGGUUAUUUUUCGAGCCACGGCGUUGAUCCGUUCGUGGUCGCUACUCACUCCGACGGAGGCCAGGGAGCGUUUGGUUACUGGAUCUAUCCGCUGGGAGAUGGUAGCUCGGGAUAUCUUCAACCGGUUUGGAUGGUGGUCAUGUAAUAGGAUAGACAAUUAGUUUACCUAUCUAUCUUUUUGCCCGCCGGUUGUGGUGUCCUUUAUUUGGCUAGUUUGUCUUCUAGCUUUUUUGGCUCUGUGUGAGCUCUCUCUUUUUUAUUUUUAUUUGGAGACUUUAAGACCUUGUUGGAACCUAUUUAUUUGUUUAAUAAGAGGGCCGUAUGCAUCGUUCUGAUGCAGAGGCCGGGGAGUCCCCUUUUCAAAAAAAAAAACUCCUAAAACCAGUUGGGUGUGAUAUAUGUACGGAAGUUAUUGGCAGAAAGGUCUAGUCUUUCAAGAGAUGUCAGAUUUGAAAGCUGAAGUAAUCCAGAGCUAGUUCUAAGGAAACAAUUGCGGAGGUAAAGAACUUUCAGAGAUGGAAGCAUGUUCAUCACCGGAAGCCAGUGCACAACUGUACUGAGGUCCACAAAGGUCAGGUCUAGGUGCUCAAGGGAAGUUAACCGUGACAGCCAGGUGAUACCAUUGGAGUAUGUAUUAGAAGCGAGAUUUAAGUACCGUAGGCUGGAGAGAUUUCCCAGCUGCGGUGGUAUCCUUCCCGUGAACAUUGACAUAGAUAGGUCGAUGUAUCUCAACUUGUGGAGAGAACCUAUGAACUUUGGUAUUUGCACCCCAUCGAACCCAUUGCAGCUGAGGUUGAGAUACUUUAGUUGUUGCAAACCAAGCAACGAGGAGCUGAUGUUGCCUCCCAGCACUUGCGUCAUCGUAUCGUCAUUAUGGUCGCAACCAUGGCCCGGGAGAUCGAGCUUGACAACGUGGUUGUUUCUGCUGCUACAGUAGACACCCUUCCAUUUGCAGCAGUCAUCACCCUUCCACGAUGAAAGGAGGUUCGCAGGGUCCAAGAGGCCUGCUUUGAAGCCGACAAGCGCGGAUCUCUCGUGGGCGAUACAGCCGGUGACUGUAUCGUUUAGAUGGCAACAUGAUGAUGAUGAUGAUGAUGAUGAUUCUAUAAACCCCUUUCCAUGGGUGAGCAAGAGAAGGGCAGCUAAUAUCGCUACGUGAAUGUGGGAGAGUAGAAGCUUGUCCAUUGGUGCUUUUGCCAUGGAUAUAUGUUUCUUCUUGAUGUAGGGUACAAACCGCGUGGUUUGCUAUAAAUUGUGUAUAUUAUCCAACAAUAUACGCUUCAUUUCCUGAUGCUGACCUAUCAUAAAUGUGAGUACAUCUUGGAGGAGAAAAAUCUCGAAGAGUCGUAUUAUUGCGAUUUCUCUGAUGCCGACCAGCCAUAAAUGUGAGUACAGCUUGGAGGAGAGAUUUCUACAGGUGAAAAGGAUACGGUAAGUCAUUCUAGGCCGAAUUCCCGUCCAGGUUCAGUGAGUGUAUUCUCCAAGCAUCUCAAAAUGAGUGAGACUGCUGACUGAAUGAGGAGCACAGCAAACGACGACCUGGGUAUGAUGACUUGGAAUUCCAGGCAUCAAGGUUGUUUUCGCGUUGCCGUAUACGGCAGGGCCUCCGGCCAUACCUUCUGGGAAGUGAAUGAAAGCAUCAGAACCACAUACAUACCUCAAGGUGAGUGAUGCAGAUCAUAUCCUCUCGAAUUAUAUAUUUGUGCACACGUUGACGCCCCAGAGUAACCAACCAACUAGUACGCUUGAUUCUGUCACUAUGUACAGUAGUUAAAAAGAACCAACCAACAUAAUAAAAAUCCUAUCCUGUAACACCAAUUGUGUUUGACACUCUUGCACAAACUAAAUUCUGGUUGAGAGUAAUCCUAGUCCUAUCUUUCUGAACAAACAUGGUGACUAUGCAUUUAUUUCAGUAAAAUUUGUUUGACUGAACAAGUCCGAAACCUGUACUAGUGUCAGCGCCCAGUAUAAUGCGUCGAGUGAUUUGAUCUUCACAAUAAAACCGUUUUGCUACAAUUUCCUUUGUGUUUGACACUCUUUUACAUAGUAAAUUCUGUCUCUCGGAAACCCUAGUCCUAUCUGAACAGACACCAGAGAUAUGGGUUGGAUUCAGAGAUAUGCCAAAUUAGUUCACAUGAAGAAGUCUGGACCCCUGUACGAUGUUUCCCUAGGGAUAUGCGAAAUCACGUCCACGCCCGGCAUAGUUCAUCGAUAGAAAGAAUCAACAUAGUAAAAUCCUACACUGUAAUAUCACUUGUGCAGACUAAAUUAUCUAUGUCAGAAAUCUUAGCCGGAGUCGCAUGUGGUAAAUUAGUUUCUGAAAAAGUCUGAACCCCGACACCCCGUGCGUUGUUUCCCUAGGUAAGAAAAUGUCUCUGCGCCCAGUAUAGUGCAGCGAAUGAAAGUGUCGAGUUAGGUCUGCGUGCGCAAACCCAGCCAAAGGCUGCUGCCUGUGGCUGUUCACCUUAUACAACCUUAAUUUGUGGUACUAGCUUAAAACUUCGGCACGCACGCCGACAACCGUUGCAAACUUUGGCCACCAGUUAACUUCACAGAUUGAAACACACACACCCGGAACAGGGGACUUGGUGCUGCCCCUGGCAUUAUUCAUUACACAUCAACUUUACAUGCCCAAUCCUUAUUCUAAGGCACAAUCCUCAAAUACAUAUCUGUGAAAAAUAGUAGUACAAUACUAUAAAUCCCCACACCCUACAUGGUAGAAAAUGGAGAACCAGCGUGAGCUAGCGAUCGUUCUCAGCUUCUGUGGUUUUUUUUCUAGUCCAGGAAGCCCAUGUAACGGCCACUUGCACAUAGACCCAAUCACACAACCUGUCCCAGAUGGAGUACCACUUAACUCGCCAUUUCCUCUUGAACAAGAAGGCGCAAAAGACUACCCAGAGACCCAUUACAUAUCCAGAACCCAUAGCGAUGAAAAACGAUACCUCAUCGUUUAAAUCUUCAUGGUGUUCUCGAGUAGCUGGGAUUGGCUCGGUUUUUGAGCAUUUCUGUAAGAGAGGAGGACCGCAUAGGCCUGGGUUGCCAAUAUAAAUACUAGUUGGAUCCUCAAGUGUUUGCAGUUGAUCUCCUGAUGGUACAUGUCCUGUCAGAUUGUUAUAGGACAGGUUCAAGCGACUUAAUGAUGUCAGAGCCGAUAAGCUUGUAGGGAUUUCGCCAGACAACUCAUUGUGUGACAAGUCCAGCGACUCCACCUGUGCCAGGGCGCCAAUAUUCUCAGGAAUGUUUCCACUAAAGCUGUUCCAUGAUAAAUUCAGAUUCUUCAAUCCGACAAGAGUGCUGAUUUCUUCGGGAAUAUCUCCAAUAAGAUUAUUACAAGAUAAAUCAAGAUUCACCAUAUAUAUGAUCUCUCCUGUAUAUAAUCUCUCUUGACCCUUUGUGACAACUGUGGAAUUCUCGGUAUAGCUGAUCAAGGCAUUAAGAGCAGUUGUUGAUUGCCAAUUUAAAGCAUCAUCGAAAUCACCACCACCGCCGUCAUCUCUUGUUAUCAUCCUCUUGCAGUUAACAAUAGAUUUGGGUAUGCUUCCUGUUAUGUUAUUGUAGGCAAGGUCCAAAUACUGAAGAUUCACUAGCUUCGUAAGCUCCUCUGGAAUGUUACCAUAAAACAUAUUUGAACGCAGCCGUAAGAACGCCAAAUAUGGAAUCUUCUCCCAAAUCCAUGUUGGCAAAGUCCCAAAGAAAUGGUUCUGACCAAGAUCAAGAAAGACGAGCUCCUUGCAGUAUUGGAGAAAGGAAGGAAACUCACCAGAGAGGUUGUUGUUUCUCAAGCUUAGAUUAAGAAUAUUCAUGCUUGUGUUGUUUGGUGUGGAUGUAUCAUAGGAGCAGUUAGGAAAUGGUCCAGUUAGCAUAUUAUUGGAGAUAUCCAAUAGACACAAUGAUCGAAUUUUGCACAAAGAAGACGGAAUGGUGCCAGAGAUGGAGUUGUCAAAUAGAAUAAGUGCUUCUAGAUUUGGUGCUCCAAAGUCUAAUGGUAGUGGCCCGACGAAAUUAUUUCUACUAAGAUCCAAGUUAGUCAAAUUAUUGGGAAGCUUAGGUAUUGGGCCAUUGAACUGGUUAGAACUGAGAUCAAUUGUAAUUGCUCUCAGAAAUUCCAUUGUAGAUGGCAAAUGACCUCUAAUUCUAUUCUGUCGCAUAUUCAGAGAAGUCAACGUGGAAGCCGUUAUCCAAAACCAUUCCGGCACUGUGUCAGAUAUGCCUGCGUUUGAGAUGUCAAGAAGGUCUAGACGUGUUGGCCAUCUAAGCCACGGUGGAAAAUUAGGCCCGAGAAUGCAUGACCAAAGUCCAACAUCUGUUAGGUUGGAAGGAGGAACCCAUGUUGAAUUCAUCGCGAGGGCUAUGGAGUUAUUAUUGAAUAACAACAUCUCCAAGCUUUGUAAACCUGAUAAGUGACCUUCAUGUAUGAAACCAUGUAGGUUAUUGUAGCUCAGGUUCAAUUUAGUUAGCUUUGUGAGCUCACCUAUCCAUAGUGGCACAACACCAGUGAGAUUGUUACCAGCUAGAUUAAGGUGGAUCAGAUUCCUUAAAGGUUCUAGUUUGGUUGGUAGGCUUCCUGUCAAAUUGCUGAAAGGUAGAUUCAAGUUUAUCAAUGUAUCCCAUGAACAACUAGGCAAG